GUUACGAGUAGUACGGUUGACUCGUGACGACGAGGACACGCUGGGCGGCGUGCCUAAUACAUGCAAGUCGAGCGAAUGACAGAGAAGCUUGCUUCUCUUGAUUUAGCGGCGGACGGGUGAGUAACACGUGGGCAACCUACCUUAUAGAUGGGGGAUAACUCCGGGAAACCGGGGCUAAUACCGAAUAAUUCCAAGCACCUCCUGGUGCUUGGCUGAAAGACGGUUUCGGCUGUCACUAUAAGAUGGGCCCGCGGCGCAUUAGCUAGUUGGUAAGGUAACGGCUUACCAAGGCAACGAUGCGUAGCCGACCUGAGAGGGUGAUCGGCCACACUGGGACUGAGACACGGCCCAGACUCCGUACGGGAGGCAGCAGUAGGGAAUCUUCCACAAUGGACGAAAGUCUGAUGGAGCAACGCCGCGUGAGUGAAGAAGGUUUUCGGAUCGUAAAACUCUGUUGUAAGGGAAGAAUAAGUACGGUAGUAACUGGCCGUACCUUGACGGUACCUUAUUAGAAAGCCACGGCUAACUACGUG
rnacentral:rRNA from 1 species